rnacentral:tRNA from 1 species
CAGAAAAUAGUUUAAGAAAAUUUUAAUUUUGGAGAUUAAAGAUGUGAAUUUAUUUCAUUUUUCUGA